UACGAGGGGGGGCGAGCGUUUGUUCGGAAUUAUUGGGCGUAAAGAGCUUGUAGGCGGUUUGUCGCGUCUGCUGUGAAAACCCGAGGCUCAACCUCGGGCCUGCAGUGGGUACGGGGCAGACUAGAGUGCGGUAGGGGGAGAUUGGAAUUCCUGGUGUAGCGGUGGAAUGCGCAGAUAUCAGGAGGAACACCGAUGGCGAAGGCAGGUCUCUGGGCAUUAACUGACGCUGAGGAGCGAAAGCAUGGGGAGCGAACAGG
rnacentral:rRNA from 1 species